UUGCCUCAGUAACGGCGAGUGAAGCGGCAACAGCUCAAAUUUGAAAGCUCCUACCAAGGCGCGUUGUAAUUUGUAGAAGAUGGCUUUGGGUCUCGGUCCAGUCUAAAGUUCCUUGGAACAGGACGUCAUAGAGGGUGAGAAUCCCGUAUGUGAUUGGUACCGGGGGCCCCGUGUAAAGCUCUUUCGACGAGUCGAGUUGUUUGGGAAUGCAGCUCAAAAUGGGUGGUAAAUUUCAUCUAAAGCUAAAUAUUGGCCAGAGACCGAUAGCGCACAAGUAGAGUGAUCGAAAGAUGAAAAGCACUUUGGAAAGAGAGUUAAACAGUACGUGAAAUUGUUGAAAGGGAAGCGCUUGCAAUCAGACUUGCGGGCGGUCGAUCAUCCGAGCUUCUGCCCGGUGCACUCGAUCGCUCUCAGGCCAGCAUCGGUUUCGGUGGUGGGAUAAAGACCGUGGGAAUGUGGCUCCUCGGAGUGUUAUAGCCUACGGUGCAAUGCCGCCUACCGGGACCGAGGACCGCGCUUCGGCUAGGAUGCUGGCGUAAUGGUUGUAAGCGACCCGUCUUGAAACACGGACCAAGGAGUCUAACAUCUAUGCGAGUGUUUGGGUGUCAAACCCAUACGCGUAAUGAAAGUGAACGGAGGUAAGAGCCCAUUAGGGUGCAUUAUCGACCGAUCCUGAUGUCUUCGGAUGGAUUUGAGUAAGAGCAUAGCUGUUGGGACCCGAAAGAUGGUGAACUAUGCGUGAAUAGGGUGAAGCCAGAGGAAACUCUGGUGGAGGCUCGCAGCGGUUCUGACGUGCAAAUCGAUCGUCAAAUUUGCGUAUAGGGGCGAAAGACUAAUCGAACCAUUGGGAUGGCUACUAGGUGGUUAAGAUACGUGGGGUUAUAGUCCGCUGGCCCGCCAGCGGGCGACACUCUCAAAGUGCGGGGGACGUCCUGGCAGUUCACAGCUACCGCAGCCCGCGCCGAAAGGGCCGGCGAGCACCCGGCCCGUAAGGGGGCCCGGGGGAUGGUAACAACGCUGGUGAUAGGGAUGAUCCGCAGCCAAGUCCUACCGGCGCGAGCCCACGGACGCAGUUCACAGACUAGAUGUGAGUGGGCCCCUCGGGGCUUAAGUUAUAGUCGACCCCCCGCGAGAGCGGGUGAAG
rnacentral:rRNA from 1 species